rnacentral:lncRNA from 1 species
UCCCGAGGUUGGUGCAUCCAUUGAUCCAGUUAUUUGUUUCUCCCUUUUCUUAUGUUUUCAUUUCCCUGGAUGCUGGAACACCAUCCGACAUGUCUUGUGGUGCCAUCAACGUCAUUAAAUGACUUAUUCAACAUAAUAUUAUAUUCAAUCAGCGCAGAUCAUCACGAAGAAUUAAAUCAAUCAAAAUAUUGCCUCGUGCUAUCCUGCAUGGGCUGUAUUUGUUAAAAGACCAUUGAAGCAACUUUCAAAAAAAAAAGAACAAAGACCAUCGAAGCAGGCACCUCGCAGUCACA